rnacentral:rRNA from 1 species
AUUGAACGCUGGCGGCAGGCCUAACACAUGCAAGUCGAGCGAGCGGCGGACGGGUGAGUAAUGUAGGGUGACUGCCCGAUAGAGGGGGAUAACUACUGGAAACGGUAGCUAAUACCGCAUACUAUCGGAUAACCCAUAUGGGAUUAGCUAGUAGGGUAGGUAAUGGCUCACCUAGGCGACGAACCCUAGCUGGUCUGAGAGGAUGAUCAGCCACACUGGGACGGAGACACGGCCCAGACUCCUACGGAGGCAGCAGUGGGGAAUAUUUGUCAAUGGACGCAAGCCUGAUGCAGCCAUGCCGCGUGUAUGAAGAAGGUCCUAGGGUUGUAAAGUACUUUCGGUCGGGAGGCGUUACCGACCGAGGAAGCACCGGCUAACUACGUGCCAGCAGCCGCGGUAAUAC